rnacentral:lncRNA from 1 species
UAUCUGUUUUGAAAUAUCAAUAUUUGGCCUUUGUAUCUAUUUUGGAUGGGAAUUGAAUCAAUUGAUUAAUUAAUAAUUGAAUUGCAUUUGUUUUGGCCUCUGUGAAUGAGAAUUGAAUCGAUUGACUGAUUGAAUUGCAUAUUUGCAUCUGUUUUGGCCUUUGUUAAUGGGAAUUGAAUCGAUUGAUUAAUUGAAUUGCAUUUGCAUCUGUUUUGGCCUCUGUGAAUGGUUCCAGUCAAUGAGUACAUUGACGCAGCUGUGAGACAUAUUCUCCUUAGGCAAGGUGUUCAUUAA